UACGUAGGGUGCGAGCGUUGUCCGGAAUUACUGGGCGUAAAGGGCGCGUAGGCGGGUCGUUAAGUUAGAGGUGAAAGCCCAGGGCUCAACCCUGGAAUUGCCUUUAAUACUGUCGACCUUGAGUAUGGCAGAGGUGUGUGGAACUCCGAGUGUAGAGGUGAAAUUCGUAGAUAUUCGGAAGAACACCAGUGGCGAAGGCGACACACUGGGCCAUUACUGACGCUGAGGCGCGAAAGCGUGGGGAGCAAACAGG
rnacentral:rRNA from 1 species